GUCUCCUUCCAGGGUCGCCUCGGGCCGAGCUGCUGGGUGGGGUUUGCUGAAGGGGGCAGGGAGGGCCGGGAAGGGGUAGAGGGGGAGAAGGGGGUAGGGGGGUGCAGCUUGGCUUCACCAGACACCUGCAGUUGAGGCUAAUUUUUACCCUCAGAUUCAAGACACGGAAAUUUGGCUGUUCCUACGCGGCUGAGCUGGGCGGGCUGUGUCUGCGGGUUGUUUUGGGGGAGCCUUCUGUGAUUACCAAUUUGACCCCCAAGCAGGGUCUCUGACGAGCUUGGAAGACUUCCCAUUUGCAGUGGUCGUUAUUUUAUGUGCACGUUGCUGAUGACGCUGACCUAAGUUCUGUUCUCUUCUUCGAUGUCCCCGCGUGAAAGUUGAAGAUGGGCAAACUGCAUGUGACAGGACUGUCUGCAAUGCGUGACUGUGAGGAACAGUGGGUGAAUUCCUGUAGAAGGAGAAAAAGAGGCAUUUCUGCAGAAUCCCUUUCAAAGCUGUGAUCAGGGGAAAUCUGAUUUCUCCGUUUUUAAACGAGCUCUGUACAGUGAUGCUCACAGACCACAGCAGUGGUAGGGAAGCAUUUCAGCUUGUCGGUGAUGAAAUGGGGCCUGAGUGCGCUACAGGUUCUGGGGCUUUAAAUCUCCUAGUUGAGGUAAUGGCACUGAUAAGGGGCAAUAGAACAUGACCAGGCUGUAGCACAACUCUGACCAGGCCUUUGGAAACCGGAGGCUCCAGGUGAUCCCAAAAGCCCAAAGUCCCAGUGGACUCAGUGGUGUAAGGAGCUUUUUUUGCCCUGAGGAAGGAAAGGGUGCACGGCUUCAUCCCAGCACAGGGAGGUUUUCCACCUAUUUGUUAUGGUGUGUGUGAGCAGAAGAUAUAUUUAUGGAGGCAGUUGGAAAUACUUUAGCGUUAUCCAGAGACAAAGGCAGUUAAUCCGAGAUGUCUUUCCCUGUGAACAGCAGCAAAAUAAAGGAUAGCUUUUUAUGACAGCUAUUUGAAAGACAGUUUUAUCAUAAGUUAUUAUGACAACAGUGUUCUGCUCCUCUCUUCUCUUAUGGAAAAUACACUGAAGCUGGGAAUUCAUUUCAGUAAGUUUGCCAUUAGUAAGGGAUCGGUAUUUCAGGAAAAAGGAGAAAAGAAUUCAAGAUCUUCCUAAAAAAUCACAUUCCAAAAGGUCUGAUUGUAAUGCACUUUUCUGGCUUCGGGACCAAUGCAAAAUGAAAGGAAAGAAUCGAUAAUUUUAUUUACACAAAUGAUAUUGAAAAACAAAAAAACAAAGAAGGUAAUUUAUGGCAUGGCAACCUUACUGGAAGUCGUUGUCAGUUCAGUCUUCUGAAAAUCAGAGCUGGAAAAAGCCAUUUUAGACCAUCUUCCCCACCAAAGUGGGGCAGGAUGAGCUGUAGCCUAAUGCAUUCUCCUUCUUCAACAGCAGCUGCCUGAGAGCUCCAUCUGAGCUCCAUCCAAUCUCCUGUGGUCAUUUACCUACUAUCUGCUAGCCUUUUUAUUUUAACAGGGAAUAGUCUGUCACCAGCCUGGCACGUGCUGGCAAAGUUGAUUGAAACCAAGUGCCCUGCAGUGACUGUAUGACUAGCGAGUCAUAUAGCAAAGGGUUAGGCUGGAGUUGCAACUGGAGAAGGAAAUUCAUUGAACUAAGGCUUGACUUUGGGAUUCUAAUUUCUUAGGUUAACCUAGUGUAAUUAGCAACAAAUUCACCUUUGAUUUAAACCUGCUGAUUCACACACUGCAGGUUGGAUGGCAGUUAGGUGACUGACUUAGGUGGACAUGCCUUUGUUCUCAGAAACAUUAGAGGGGAAUCUCUCCUGAAUCUAGGACUUCUGUUUUGGAGACCAUACAGGCCCAACUGGUAAAUGUUGAUAUAGUCUUCCAAAACUACGCCUGUUGUUUUUAUUAGCACUCAAUGUCUCCUCUUUUCUUUCUCACUGUGUCAGGCCAGAACUGCAAGGGGCUGGAAUCCUUUUAGCAUUUUAACACUUCCUUGACAAACAUCCUGCUGUUCUAUCGCUGCCCUCCUGAAGUGUAAGAGCUCAUUUUUGAGGGGAGAAAAACAUCUCCAAACUCAAGGAACUAUUUGCACUUGUGUUGGGUGACAUCUGCUUUACUGCAAGCAUCACUGAAUGCAGAUCUACAGCCUUUUAACCCUAUUCUCUAGGGCAACAAUUUUGUGCUCUAGUUCUUUCAGGCUCUCAUUUGUCACUUUUUUUCAAGGAGUAUAAGAUGUAGCUUCUCUCUUAAGAAAACCUUUGGUUGCUUACCCUACACGCAAAGAUAUGUGCAAAAAUCCCCACAGGGUAACAAAAACCUUCCCCAGGGAAAACAUCCUUGAACUAGUUUAACUGAAAGCUCCCAAUUUCACAGUGCCUUUGGCUGGAAAAUUUAAAUGUUCAAAGGGCUGUGGCAUGAUUAAAGAUUUUCUUGUCUCAGUCUCUGAUGCAAGAGUGCAGACUCUCCUCCUCCCCUCACUGCUUGCAUAGAUUGGGUUUAUAGGAGUGAUUGAAAACAGACUAGGCCGUUAAAGGAAGAAACGGAGACCUAUGGUGGAAAACAGAGAAAGAAGGGCUUCUUGGGGCUUUUCCAUUCUUUGCCCCUGCAGCUCUGUGCAGAUCAGUCAUCUGUGUCCCUUCCAGGCAGUGGACCGGAGAAGAUGGUCUUGAUUUUUGCACCAGUUAUAGUUCUGGUUUGGAACUGGGCUCUGACUCGAGGACGUCAAGCUCCUUUCGGAGAACUCUCGCUGGACACCUGGUCUCUACUUCUCUCAGCUCUUCUCUCUGGGAGAAUUUUGCUCUAGGUUCAGUUCACUGCACUCACAGGUUUUUGCACCACCUGAGUCUGGUUUUUUAAGUUAGUUUCUAUGAGGUUCCAGUUGUUUAUAAUGACUGUCUUCUCCAGACCCUGCACUGCAGCAUUUCCAAGCUCAGUAUGAAAACAGUGUAGACUCGGUGAGACUGCAUUUCUGAUGUAUCAUCGUGCUACAAAUCCCUGAUCUUUGCAGCUAACCCAAAAGCUGAGGAAGAGGGAGCAAUAUCCUCUCUUCCUGCAGCUAAAGAUCCUCAAACAAACACCACAACCAUUUUAACCGAGUUGAACGCCUCCAGGGGAGAUAGUGAUGUUUUGUGACACACAGAAAUAGGGACAUGGCAAAGCUGAGGUACCAUUUCCAUUGCUUUAAUUGCUGAGUGGACAGCUCAGGCCGGGUGUAUAGAAAUAUCUCCUACCUGCAGCUUCACUGACCUCAGGAUGUCCAACCCCAUCUUUCCCUGCUGCCUUCCCUCAUUGUUUUAGAAUGGUAAAAGCAGGUGAGGUCUGAGGGCUGGGCCCCCGAGAGCUGUAAGGCAGCAGGCACAUAUGCAGAGAAGUGUCUAGCUUAUCCCUCUUCUGCUUUUUGGUGGGUUAGGAAAGAGUUAAAUGACAACAGAGGGAGAGGCUGUGCUAUUGUUCAGGCAUCCCUGGGUCCAGGGUGGCCGAUCUCUAUUCCCGGAUCUGCCUCUGGCUUCCUGCAUGACCUUGGACCGGUCACUUACCUUUUCUUUUCCUUAGCUCCCAGAUUAUAACAUGGAAAUCAUUCUCUUCCUGUGGUGCCUCGUUCCCUGCGGGUUUCAGGGUGGCUGAGAUUCUCUGGUGGGCGAUGAUGGGAGGAAGAGAACACGUUUCCACUGGAGAAAUAUUUACACAGAGGGUGGCAAUUUUUGGACGUGUUCUUGUUCACUCAGAUACAGCGCGGGCUGUGCAUAUGGUGAUAUUUGUUUUUUUUAGUAGGCAAACCUGUGGUGAAAGUCAAAUUCCAUUUGUCGUUGAUGCAGCUGCCCGAGAGCAAUGCCAGCUGCAGUGAUCCUUUUCUUCACUAGAUGGUGCUUUUGAUCAAAGAUUUGAAUAACGGCAGCUCCUUUCUGCACAGAAUUUCCUAAUUUUUCUUCCCCAGUCUCCAUUCCUUCCCCUCUUCUUUCUGUGCUUCAACACUACGGGGGACACUCAGUAAUGCUGGAUAUUGAGCAAGGCUAAUCUGGUGGUAAUACAAGCUCCAAGCCACCCGCACCCACCAGCCAGCUUGUCUUCUGGACUUUGGUUUUUGAAGCGUGUAUCAGUGCUGCUGGGCUGUGGCAGAGAAUUGAAUUCUUUCCGUGUUUUCUAUUCCCAUAAGGAAAAGGCUUCAAAGAGCAGGUCCCCUCCCCCUCUCUGCUGGUGAAGGGCAUUUAGGGAAGCUGGGAAAAAAAAUCCAGCUCUGACAGAUGCAUUUAUUUAACAAACCACUGCCUUUCCCUACCUUAGCAGAAGAUUGGUUGUUUUUUUUUUUUUUAAAAAGGGAAUUGCUGCUUUUAUAUCCGUCUUUGUAUUCAGGAGAUGGUUACCUAGCCAAGGUCAUUGCUGCUGCAUGCCAGUAUCAAGCAGAGAGCCAGCCUCCUCUUCCUUGAACGAGCACUGAUCUCGGUAAGGCUUCCCCAGGUAAAGAACGGGAACAGGCUUGAAUCUGCCAAUGCAAGGUCCCAAGCCGCUGCUGGGUAGAAAAAGCCACAAAAACAGCCUUCCUUUUUAUAAAGGCAGCAGAGGAGAUGAAUGAAAUUGUAAUCAAACAUUUCCUGUGCAGACACGCACGGGGAUCGGGUUAUGAGCUCGUACAGUAUGAGGCACAGCAGGGUGUGUGGUGGUGUGCUGUCAUCAUCCGUGACAGCGUGUGCAGGGCAAAUGGGGCUGCCUGCCCCCAGCACCCCAACCUGGCACACACACAGACGAUAACCGUCCUGUGCUGGGCCCCUUCCGAGUCUGACCCGAGGCUCUCGCCCCUCUGGCGCUGGUCGGCAGCGAUGGUGUUUGUUCACAUUCGCGCGCUCGCAGGGCUACCUGCAGCCCGCUGCGCCCGUGCCUUCGUGCCAGGCUGCCUCGCACGCUGCAAACGUGCAUCCAGACGCUCCCAUCGGGGAGGCUGCGAGGUUACAUCACGUACAGCUCCCUCCCCAUGGAAUUUUACAAACGUUAAUGAAUGGGGCUGGAUUGCUGCUAUGACGCCAAUCAGCCAUGCACAGAUUUAUAGUCUGAGGCCAAGAGAGAUUAUGCUUCUGCCUCUGGCACUGCACCAGUGGCAGCAAUUUCAUGUGUGUGCUGACAAGCCCGCAAGGCCGGUGCCCGCAGCAGCCCUGUCCUCGCGUGCUGGAUGUUACGCUUAUGGCAGUGAUGUCCCCACAGCAGGGACACGAGCCAUGCUAAACUGCAGUGUGACACAAAACUCCUCUCGGGACUGGGAGCUGACAGUGAUUUCUUUGUCAUUCCCCUGUUGUCAUCUUCCCACUGCACAUAUAGUUGUUCAUCAUCAGUAAGAUAUUGCUGAUGACUAAACCCUGGGUCUGCAUCACAGAGAAACUGUUUGAAGGAGCAGCCCAGAACUGCAGGGUUCAAACUCGUAGAAGAUUGAGAAGUGGGGACAGUGCAUUUCCUCACAUCUAUCAGAUCUGGAGAGCAAGCCACUCUCCCAGUCCCUCCUGGCUGAGAGAGAAUUGCAUCACUGGUGCGUGCAGAUUUUUUUUUUUUCCUGAAAUGUGUUUGUUUUAUUGUUUUCCUCCGAUGGAAUUUGCCAGCAUGUCCCAAAUUAUGUGGUUCUGAAAUUUAAAAGCAACAUACCUGUGUGGGGGAGAGAAUGAGUGGUUUUCACUUUGCAAUCUGGCUCUUCCCUCCCUCCUCCCUUUUCCCCACAUCCCCAUGUGUUAUGGAGCCAGCUGCUCCCGGAAUAGUUUGGGAAUGAAAUGUCACCGUUUGAAACUGGUGAGUCACACUUUUUGAAAGGGAGGGGGGGAGCGGGGGGGAGAAUAUGAAAUCUUGCGGUGUGGCAGAGCGUCUCCUGGUGAGUACAGAGAGAUUUUUAAAACCACAGACUCCCUGUUGAUGGAAUUGAGGGGCUUUGAAUAAAGGCUGCUGGGUGUGUCCAUGUCGCUUUUUGCAGGAGGAUCUCAAAACCCUCUGCAAACUUUAAUUGUCUUCCUUAACAUGCCCACUGCAGCUGGAUCCUAGUGCCUCCUCCAGCAGGACUAGGUUGUAUCUGUCUGACAACACACCUACAGUGACUCUCUUAAUUAAGUCUCCCCGCACUGCUGUGAGGUAUGUAAUUACAGUGAGACCUGACUUAAGCAACCACUCGAGGGACUAACAAAAAAAAAUUCUUUACCAGAGCAGGGAGGAACAGAAUUCUACUGAAUACGUUUUUGGGGAAGUUUGUUAAACAAAGGGGGUUAAUUAUUCUGGUUUCUUCUCAGUGUAUCCCAAUAUUAGGAUGAUGCCUUUAAUAUACUGUGUGUUAACAUAAUCAGGGUUUUUUUUCUUUUUAAAAGGAUACUUGAGAUCUUUUGUCUUUUAACAGAGAUUGCUAUUAAAAAAGUGUCAAUUAGUGCAAAUGGUGGCAAUGGUCUUGCGAAAUGAACUAUUGUUUAUCAGAAGCUGAGUAGUUGUCCCUCCCUGCCCAACCCCUGUCCAGUGGUAAAAAUAUUUAGUCAAAGGGCAACAUUCUGGAUUCCUGCUCCAGGGUAUUAUAACCACCCAUUUUCAUGACUCUACAUAGCAGCUCUGCCUAGUAGGUACUAGGAAUCGUGUAUCUUGAACUAAAGUACCACAGUAGUUGCGAUACUAAUGGUGUCUCCCAGAGAGCUCUGGCAGUUCCAGGUGGACGGAUUUUCGAUGUCGCUGCCCCAGCCUGCUGUCAGAGGUCUCUAUCCAGUACUCGAGGUGGACGGCCGGACCGUGCGUCACCAUUCUCAGCCCAGUGUAUUACUAUAAACUGCCAACUAUUUCAGGUUGCAUUACUACUGCAAGCGCUGAACUGUGGUGGCCAUGGAGAAGAUAUGCCACCCAUUUUGCAGCCUCUGCUUCAACAGUAAUGAUCUCCAGCUGAAGGACAGGAAGAAGCUGGAAAUAGUAAUAUCAUAAAUAGUCCCACUAUGGGCUGGCAGCCCUCCCCUCGAGUCCCACCUUCAGUGGCAUUCCAAAUACAUGCUGUGAGUAAAACUCCCAAAUUGCAAGCCAAGCUAUGCAGCUAACUUGGUGGGGAUUUUGCAAGCACAAGCCCUAGGGAGGGUUGAUGCCAUCUCUGUCUAUUAUAUUUGGAAGACUGAGCUAGUAGCAAGAUUUUAUGAAGUGUGCUUUUAUAUCUCAAAUUUUAGACAGUGUUUACUAGAAACCCACAUAUUCUGUCGUCACAGGAUUUGACAAAAAUAAUCUCUGGCUGCAGAAAUUUGCUGCAGAGUCUAAGAUUUUGUUUAAGACAAAAUAAAACAAGCCCUGUACUUCACGGCCUCAGAGACAACCUUGAGAAGUCAAAUCUGGGUGCCAUUCCACAUGCCUUUUUCUCAGCAGAAAAGCCUGCCUAUCUGCCCCACUCUUUUCUCUUUUUUUUUUCCCCCUUUUUUCUUUAACUCAGACUGUUUCAGUGAUUUGGCUUACACUGCAGGUCUGCAAAGAGUUGAACCAGCAACACUGCAGGAGCUGUAAGUUGCAGCAGCAACGCAGGACUGAACCAAGGUACCAGGACUCUUUUCAACCUAUGGGACAUGAAUCCUUGGAAUUCUGUGCACUACUUUGAAGAAGUCUGCAAAAGAUCACAAAGACAAGGAAGCUUAUUGUCAGUAGAUUUAAAUGAGCUAUACAGGGGUCCACAAUUCCAAGGGAAAACUUCAGGAGUUGAUUACAAAGUUCUAAGUCAGCUCGAUCCAUUGAAAUCCACCUAUCUUUGCACUCCUUGGACUAACAAGCAUCCUUCUGGCAGGAAGGUUCUGUGCAGCUGAACUAACCCUUUGUCAUUGAGUAUUGUGGAUUCAAGAAGCUGCUCUGUCCCCUAUACUAGGACUGAGCCAUGUGGAAACCUCUGAUCUGGCACCUACCAGGUGCUCUUACCAAUGGAUUGGGCUGAAAACAAAAACUUUUAGAGAAGCUGGUGUAGCUGGCAUUAUACAACCAAUUCAGUUUUGUAGCAAGGUCAGUACUUUGUCCCCGAGAUAAAUGAGCAGGUACACAGUGUUCUCCCUACAGACUGUGAGGUGUCUGAAGUAUUUCAGAUGAACUUUAUUGGGAACUAAAGGCAAUCAGCUUCAGGCAGAAUCGUGCAACAGACUCUACCUAUAUCUCCAGAGCUUUAAGCCCAGCAGUCAGACUUACAACCUGAUGUGCUUUAAAGGCUUUGGAUUAAGUAAUGGUAGUACUACUGGGAUGGAAGUUCAUAAUGCUUAGAUGAAAAAAGGCUUGUGCUAGGAAAUAAAAAUCAUUGAAGAUUUAAAAAUAGAGUAAUUUUUAAAUUUUAAAAGUGUUCUGUUUAGGAUUUCAAAAAUUUUUCUGUGUGGGUUUUGGUAAGCAGAGUUGUUUUAUAAGUUCUUUCCUGUUAGAUUGUGGGAGAAUUUGUCUUUUUUAGGGUGCCUGAAAAGCAGGAGAGAUACUGAGGAAUCUUCAUGUGGCUCCUGAAUAGCCGCCUUCAAAUCCACUUUUGGAGCCAGGGUCUUCAGCCUCUUGUAAGAUCAAACUUAAGACACUUCACUUGUAAUCCAAGUUUAUGUGAGGAAUCCUAGCUAAAUCCUUGGUGUUGCUUAUACAUCUGAUUGAAGGGAAAGGUUCAUGUUUACCUGAGAACUCUAUUGGACAUUUUAACACGUAUUAUGUGGAAAAGCAUGCCGAAGUGAUAAAGUAACAAUUGAUUCAUGGCUAUCUAGCAGAGUCUAGAAGUGCCACCUUGGGAUGACAAGGAUCAAGAUACAGUUACUUUGCUUUUCCAUGUGAAGAAUGCUGCUUCUUCCCAGCUGAGCUAUUGUGUAACGUAGAUGACUCUCUGGAGGAAGAGUUUGCUGCACAUUUGCACUAUGUUUUAGCUACUAUCAACAUUUAUAUUCCAUUGGCAUUUGAGGGUAAGCACUAAUUAGCAUAAUCAUCAAUGCUUUAAAAUUAAAAAUUCCUCCAAGAGACACAGGAGGGAUUGAAACUGUUUCCUUCCCCCAGAGGCAAAUCCUUUCCCAAGCUAUCUGCUGCACCAAAAGGUUUUAUUCUAGAAACAUUCCCAAGCUAUGCCCAAGAGUAAAUUAAACUACAGCAAACUUGUAAACUCUCGAGUGUGUGUGUGUGUAGCAAGCAGGCCCUGAUUUGACAAUUACUACAUGACAAAAUGUUGUCACUAUUUUCCACUCCUAUUUUGUUUUGACUGCUGCUCUGUGCUGCUGUGUCACCUUUACUGUGUGGGCUGGAACAAUCAAAAAGUGUUUGUGGAGUCUGAAGUUUUUACACUACACAGGAAAGAUUCUGGUGUCUUCACAAGCUAGAAAGCAAAGGGUUUAAUGACAUUGCCCUCUUCUAGAGCUUGCCUCAAGCUCCCCAAGUCAGGAGCUGGCCUAAAAAAAUCUCAAGAGCCAUUCUUUUCUACACUAUUUUAGAGUGGAUUUUUACUCUGGUUCCAAAAUGAUUCAUUGACAACAAAAACCUCAGACUGGAUUUCUGGCUUAAAGAGACUCCUCUUUAUGGAGAAUAAGGUGCCAGCAAAACCUUGGGGGAACUUCAAGUUCGAAAGGUAACGUCCAUACCUUGGAAAUGUCCCCUAAGAGUCGAUCUUUAAAUUUCUACAUUCCUGCCUUUGGGAGGUGACAGUGGGCCUCGGCUCCCAUUAAUAGCAGGUGUGGUCAAAGACGGGUGUCCUACGCGUGGGUUUGUUGUGUCUCAAAGAAUCCUCACAUCCUCAGCGGGUCUUCAAGUGGUGGGGCCAUGAAACCUCAGGGAGCAGGAAUAGUUGAAUGUUGCAAUUGUUCUUGAACUGGCCAGAGAGAAAAACUAGUGGUUUUCCAAAGGAAAUAUUUCUUUCAGAGGGAAACACUAACAAACGCAGGUGUUUCUUAAAAGAAAACAAUUGUGUUUACAAACUCACAAUUCUUGUUAUUUCUGCAUAGGACAAACACCACCACACCCUACACUGAGUAAAGAUGGGGACUCUGCAAGAAAGAGUGGCACAGAAAUCUCCAUGAAAAUUUCAGAAUCCGCAGGACAUUGAACAUAUGUAUUGUUUUCUUGGUAUCCUGUUUUUUCAGAGAGAUGGACUUAAACUUCAUUGGCAGAAAUUCUAUCUUUUAUCUUUAUCUCCUGUUUUGAUUUGGUAGCCAUGGAGAAAAGCCCAAGAUUAGUAACAGUAGGUUGUUGCAGAAUAAGAAUAACUCUCUACUUGGAUUUAGACUGUAGUAAUACCCGGGGGUUUGUUUAACUGGAAGUACUCAGAUUGCAUAGAAUAAAUACUAGGUGCUGUUAGGACAUUAAUCACCCAUCCCAUUCACUUCUGUCCACCUUGAACUAAACACUGGUAAUCUUCUGUCUUUUCUGAGGGAUGUUUAGGUGGCUUCCACAGGGUAGGGGUAGUAGGCUCUCUGUGCCUACUACUUUUGGAAACAAUGGUUAGUUCUCUUGAAGGUCAAUGUGUUUAUGCUUUUGCCCUGCUACAGACAUCAGGGCACCCGGACCCUUGGAAUUUGGUUCCGUUUGGCUAAUAAUGAAUGAAAUGGGCCAUAUUCUGAAGCUGAGAUGCCUCUGGCUCCACAAGAAAGCCAAAUUAAAAAAUACUACUUUAACGGCAGUGUCUAGCAAUGAGUUUUGAGAUUCCCUCUGGAAGCCCACAGUGAGAAACUUCAGAGAAAGGAAGGGGAUGGUGCAUCUUUUCUCUGAGAACCUAGGAAGAGACCCAAUGCCUUUGCCAGUGGCAUGGGCUAAGAAGGCAGGACAAUGGUAGGAACAAAGACACCACACCUUGCUCUUGUUUGCUACUGGCAAAGCAGGCUAUGGGUGGGAUUGGUAAAUGUUUGACCAUAAAGUUUUAGUUUCCCUAAUUCAGCUGAUAUCCAUGCUGUCUGGUAUGUUACUUGAUUUGCCUCUCCUCAGCAUCUCAGCACGUAGCUUCAAGCACGUUUUGCAACUUUUCUUUAGAAAACUAUUUUGCAUUUUACAGCAACAUACAAACCAGAGCUCUUGCAGCAUAUUUAGGAAGAAAGGAAUUUACACUGCUUUUGCUGGGAUGACAUUCUAGGAUGACAGAGACACAUAGUGACACAUGGAGAUAAUACCACAUAUUGUUAAGUUCUACCAGUCAAUGUGCUUCUACAAGGUUAAUCUUGUUUCUAAAUGAUCACAGCUAAUGUCCUGUUUUGAUUCAGGGUGAUGGAAACUAGGUGCGGAUGACUGGCUAAUUUUAAGGCUACAGAGAAAAGGCAGAUUGUCAGAGACCAGGAUCUGCUUGAAGACUGGCUUCUGAAUUAAAACUAAUUGGUAGCUUCCUUUGAUGGCCCUUUUGCAUCUGGAUGAGAAAGAUCCAAGAGAACUCAUUUUUCUUACUUAUUUCCCUCCUUCAUUUUAGCAGGUGAUGUCAGGAUGCCAUCAGGACUUCUGUACUUCUUUUUUUGAGAAGAUAAAAUAGUUGUUUGAUUAGUAAAUGUAAAAGAUCUGUAUUUUCUGCUGGCUUUUCAUUGCUAAAGAUCUGGUAGAUCUUAAGAUCAAGGUUAUUAAAAACAGCUUAUGACAUUUCUUAGGUCAGACACUCUUUUGAAUAUGUCUACUGUAGGUUUGGUGUUAAAAUCAGAGUGAUAUUAAAAAGCAUGUCUGAUCA